rfam:Gossypium raimondii Chr13_contig_1344, whole genome shotgun sequence.
CAUUAAAAAAAUUCAUUCAUCUUUUACUGUUAAGAAUUGGUGUGGCUGAUAGAAUAACAAAAUAGUUACACGUGGCAUGUCACGUGUACCUCAUUCCGAUAUAUAAUGACCAAUUUUUAAUAGUAGAACUGAAUGAAAUUUUUACCA